CCUACGGGAGGCAGCAGUGAGGAAUAUUGGUCAAUGGGCGCGAGUCUGAACCAGCCAAGUCGCGUGAGGGAUGACGGCCCUAUGGAUUGUAAACUUCUUUUAUACGGGAAUAAACUGUGUCACGUGUCCUUUUUUGCAUGUACCUUAUGAAUAAGGAUCGGCUAAUUCCGUGCCAGCAGCCGCGGUAAUACGGAGGAUCCGAGCGUUAUCCGGAUUUAUUGGGUUUAAAGGGUGCGUAGGCGGCCUUUUAAGUCAGCGGUGAAAGGCUGUGGCUCAACCGUAGCAUUGCCGUUGAUACUGGGGGGCUUGAGUGUGUUGGAGGCAGGCGGAAUGCGUGGUGUAGCGGUGAAAUGCUUAGAUAUCACGCAGAACCCCGAUUGCGAAGGCAGCCUGCCAAGCCAUGACUGACGCUGAUGCACGAAGGCGUGGGGAUCGAACAGGAUUAGAUACCCCAGUAGUC
rnacentral:rRNA from 1 species